GGCAAGAGAUCAUGCCGACGCCAGUACUGGUACUGGCCAGUACUAUGGUAUAAAUAGCAAUAAAUGGUUAUGCUUAAGCGAGAAGUAAAUUUAGAUAAAGCUGGUAGAUGGCGCAUCGUAGGAAAAUCGCAGUAUGAGAAUUGCCGCUUAAUGUGACGUAGGCUGUCAUAAAUUUCUGAUUGGCGCUUUCGGAAAUACGCGCAAGACUCUUGUGGUUGAAGAAGCGCGGUCAGUCCUGGAUGUGAGCCUAGCAAAGAUUUCUCUUUUUCCGUAAACAAAAAAAAAAAUAAAAAAGCCGAUAUGUGAAAGAGCCGAAUCGCCGCCUCUCCGUCCACUCCUUCAGGACUGGACGGAUGGCCUUGAAGUGUUACAUAAAAUUGGACGAGCUGAAUCUCCUUCUUGUCCUUGUGGAUUUGAAACCCAAAACGCAGUUGGUUUUAUGCCAAGAUUGGUCUCCCGGCCGGAGUCCUCUCUUUGUUCCCAGAUCUGUCGGGAGAGAAGAGGACGAAAACUCCUGGUUGAAGAGUUGAGAUCGUCUGAAAACUUGCCACUGCCAUGGGAUCCCCCGUCAGGAUUCAAUUACAGAGGAAGCGAAAUACUGGUACUGACUGAGACUCCUUUGUAGUCUGAUUCAUAGAAGAAGAAGAAGAAGAAGAAGAAGAAGACGGAUAACGCGCACGCCUGUCCUCACCGAGGACAGGUUCUCCUUCCACACCGCGAAUGUGCGCUGCCGGGCGUGGAACUGCUGCACCUCCUAUAUUUUGAGUCUGAUGUAUGUUGAUUCAACAUUAAUUUAAUAUUCAUUUUACAUUACUUACUCAUUUAACAUAAUAAUUUUUAAAAAUA